UUCUUCUUGAUGUCCUGCAUACAUUCCCAUCUACUGCGAACCUGGGGAUUGCAGCAAGUUUCCUUGCAGGAAGGCUCACCCCUUAACAUCCAGCUGGUAUCUGGCUCGACAGCUUGCCAUCUUACCCUGGCAUGAGCAGAAAUGAUGGAAAACUUCCUCGCCAGAUGCAACAGGGAGAAUCAAGUCCCUGGGAGCCAUAAGUACCAGCAUUUUUCUAGAUUUAAACAUAUCACCUUUUGAUAGCUUUCCUGAAAGUUACUUUCUUAGUAAGAUUUAAGAUACAGCCUUACAAACAACAGAAGCUGAACUCUGAACAGGGAUACCUAAUACUUUGCAUCAUGUCUUUGGUCCCACAUGGGCCUCAACAGAUCUGUUUGGAAGGAAUUACAAGCCAACAUCUAGAUACAUGCUGUCAACAUUUCAAGCUUCAUUAUUUUUAUUAGUUUGGAAUGCCAUUAUAGAUUUGAUAUUAGGCUUUAAAAUGCUUUUUAUAAGUCUGUUGAAAACCUACAGUCUA